GACGAACGCUGGCGGCGUGCCUAAUACAUGCAAGUCGAGCGAAUUUUUGGGAGCUUGCUCCCAAAGGUUAGCGGCGGACGGGUGAGUAACACGUGGGCAACCUGCCUAUAAGACUGGGAUAACUUCGGGAAACCGGAGCUAAUACCGGAUAAUUCUUUUCUACACAUGUAGAAAAGCUAAAAGACGGUUUACGCUGUCACUUAUAGAUGGGCCCGCGGCGCAUUAGCUAGUUGGUGAGGUAACGGCUCACCAAGGCCACGAUGCGUAGCCGACCUGAGAGGGUGAUCGGCCACACUGGGACUGAGACACGGCCCAGACUCCUACGGGAGGCAGCAGUAGGGAAUCUUCCGCAAUGGACGAAAGUCUGACGGAGCAACGCCGCGUGAGUGAUGAAGGUUUUCGGAUCGUAAAACUCUGUUGUUAGGGAAGAACAAGUACGAGAGUAACUGCUCGUACCUUGACGGUACCUAACCAGAAAGCCACGGCUAACUACGUGCCAGCCGCCGCGGUAAGAC
rnacentral:rRNA from 1 species